ACUCUAGUCGCCGACCGGAUUCGCUUCCUUCACGGUGGAAUCGAGCUCGGCAACCGUCUAGCCCGCCUCCGACCGCCGUCCUCCGCGCCUCAUCGCCAACCCGCUGCUCGAGCCCCUCUCCAUCCCCGCGCGCGUUUCCGUCUUGCUCGGGCCCGUCACCGACCCAUCCUUCGCCGUGCUACCGUGCACUGCCGCUCGACGCGACCGCCGCCGGCCGUGCUCCGGUCAGGCCCGCCGAUCGAGAAGCACCUAAAUCAACUCCCCGAGUCGCGCUGGUGCUGUAGGACCAAGUCCCGAGCCUAGCCAUCGCGAGCCUUCCACGCACAAGUUGGACGCCAUCCCCAUCGAUGCUUACCGAGACCUCUCGCCUUCCCUCCCCCGGCCUUCCCUUUUCCCCGUGCAAGCUCCUGAUCCUUGGUCCUGAUCUGUGCCGUACCUGUUCCAUUCAAGAUAAUAUCGAGCUCUAUUUUGUCUUUACAUUUUUUUUUGUGUAGUUGAUGCAAAAGUAAUUUCAUUUUGUUUCAGCUGGUAGCAUAUAGCUGAUGCAAAGUAAUCCUAGCCGUCGCGUGUCACCGGCCCGUGCCGCCCUCCCUCGAUCCGGUCUUCUAUCCUGGGCUCCAUACUUACAUCUCCCUGUGGUCCAAACUGAUGCGUAAAAUUCCACGAGUACGCUUCAGAAAUGCUGAAAAAGCUCCAACCUUAAUGUUUGACAGAAUGCUUUUUCCCCCUAUUGUUAAGGUGACCAAUGAGGUUACUCCAGGCUCCAGCACAACCAAUUUCAAGGCUUUGCCACUGUGUUAGGAAUAAUUGUUUUCUUUAUAGCAUUCCAAGAUAAUGUACUUUGGGCAUUGUGGGAGCCAGUAAUUAUUGAAACAAGCAAUACUCAUUGCUGCAUCAAUCGACAAGGAGGAGGAGACCUGACUAUUUCAAUCAUAUGAAGUUGCUGCCAUGCUUUCUUACAUGCGGACUCUCUGCCAAGUGCUCAAGAGAAUGCCUUAAUGCAAGGAUUGCAUGGAUCGAAACACUAAGAUAAUGUGUGGAUAACUACCCAAUGCUAUGUGUACAUAGCAUCCGAGCAAAAGCGCGGGGCACCAGCUAGUUUUAGUAAAAUUUCUCGCCAUCAGAUCCACACCAAGAUGGAUGCCUACCAGCAUGUGGGCUGCUUUCUCUUCCACUGCAUCAUAUUAUUUUCAUUCGUGCGCUUCAAUUUUGCUUUUCAGCACAGUUCAUGUUGUUGUUUUCAUUUUCCUUUUUUUGGCU